CCUCCCUGUGGCCCUGGGCUGACCGCACCCAGGUCUUUCCAGGCCAACUCUGGGCCUCACCCCCCGAGCCCCACGGCUCAGCUUAGUGCUGGCAGCUACAGACCCCCAGGGCCCGCCCGCUGUCUCCCCUCCCUCUGCCCCCCGGGCCACCCCCCUGCUCUGGCUAACCCCGCUGCUUAGGGCCCCCUCUGGCGGGCAGAGAGCCUGGCCUGGCGGGAAAGAGGAGACGCGGUGUAGAUGCCAUGUGGACUGGGGCCCGGGGGGUCCUUCCUGCCUGUCUUGGGGGCCCAGGCGCCGCUGAGCAGAACCCAAAGAGCCGUGAUGUCAGAGGAUCGCUGGGAGCCCACGGAGAGGGCGGCAUCCCCGGAACCCGGGUCACAGUGACGGAGGACCUUGAGGGUCCCUGCGGAAGGGGCCUGGCCUCAGGCACAUUGCUGCCGGGACCAGUCACCUUCUGUGCCCAGGCCUGAGGAUUUCCUGGGGGACCUGAGCUGAGACCCCAGCUACACGUCCUGUGCAUUGGCACAAACGUGGCUCAUCCUGUGAGCAGGUCUCCUUCCAUGACUCCGAUUCCAUUCUCACGAAGGUUUCAUCUCUGCUCGCAUGAAUAUUUCAUUCCGAGCUUAGUUAACAUCGCCCUUUGUCUCCGGACAGAAUGGAUCGAGCGGCUCCUCGAUGGGCACCACUGCCCAGCCCUUCUGCCCCCUGCUUUUGGUCACCAGGAGGAGCCUCACAGUCACACUGUCACUCAGGCCAGUGGCUGGGGGCCUCGUCCCUGCUCCCGGACGUGCAUGAAGGGCCCUGAUGUGUUGAGGGUCACCCCUGAGACACUGCCUGGGGUGGGGUCCUCCGAGGGGGUUGGGACGAGGCUGACCAUGGCCGGCACCUCGCUGGACAGUGCCUCCUGGUCUGGCUGCUGACGUCCGGAGCUGCUGCUGGGUGGCCGGGGCUCCAGUCCGCCCGGUGACGUCUGCCGCCCGUCAGUCUGUCUCUGCAUCUGAGGCUCUGUCGGCCUGUCUGUCUGUGGGCUCCUGCCUUCCUCCCUGUCAUGGGGAAGUUUGCAGAAGCGGCUCCGGUCCAUCUUGUCCUCCCAUCUGGGGACGUGGAGCCCCUGGACCCUGCACCCCCAUGAGAGGACAAGCCCAGUCGUUGGCACGAGCAGAACAGGAGAGGGGUCCCCCAGGGGAGGGAGCCGGCAGAGCCUGCGUCCUGCUCACCUCGAGGGGACGCGUGAAGGGAGUGGGACUCUGUCCUGCAGACCAAGAGCAGGCAGGGCACCUGGGGGACUGUGGAGGGGGUCCCGCCCCAACUCAUGCCCCUUGGAAGCCAGGCUGUUCAGAAAUCAGCCAGGAAGGGUAGGAGGGCUUUCCAGGCCCACUGGGAGGAGCUGGGAGGAGCCUGUGGACUCUGAAGGAUGACAGACAGAGGGCUCCAGAGGCUGUUUCCCUGUCCCUCCCUCCCCAGGCCAGGCCCCGUGGGUGCCCACGAGGCCAGGGUGACCUCUCAGCACCCUGAGGCUGGGAAUGGGCUGCGCUCUGAUCCUCAAAGGAGGAACCAGGUCUGAAAGUCCUGCCAGAGGCACAUGGAGGUGCCCGAUACCAGGACUGGGUUUUCUAAACCGUGUGCAUGUUAGCGGAGCAGGCCUCACUCUCCGCAGGCUCAGACUCAGCCCUGGAAGACCCCCUGCCGCCCCCCACGAAGCAGCCCGAAUGAUCAGAAGCCCGCCUCCCUGCAGUCUGGGUCCUCUGGGGCAGCCCGCCGUCCAACCAGCCCUGGGUGUGACCCGCUCCCCUAGGCCUCCCCGCAGCACCCCUGGCCCCAGUGCCCGGAGGUGGGGGGAGCAGGGGCUGCUGGGCCUCCCCCCACACAGGGUGGGGGACCGCUGCCCCAGAGCCACAAGGGGUCAGGGUGGGCGUCCUCUGUUUCCCCAGAGUCUCAGGGGCGCCUGCGUUUCCUGGACCUUGGUUGGAAAAGGCGGAAUAAGCCGCAUUUAAGUGGGCUUUCGGUUUUGAAUGAAUCUUGUAGCUAGCGUGACUGUUACACGAGCUGGCCCUGGACUCACUGUCACGGCUGGGGGGUGAGGGUGCCUGGAUGAUCAUGCCCUCUGCACUCGGCCAGGUUUGGGGCGGUUUCCCCUGCCGGCUCAGAGGUCACCCCUGGAAGGUGGCUGCUGAGCUGAGCACUGGCGAGCCAGGCCUCAGGCCAGACCCCGCCCCACCCCGCGCCCCCUCACCUCCAGCCUUGCUGGGCCAGCAGGACGCACCAGCAAGGUCUUUCUUCUGAAAGACUUGCUCGGAACGGUUUAUUACUCAAGGAAGGACAUUUAACACGUUAUGGUAGGACACGUUGUAAAGUAAAUAUUUCACUGGGCUCAUUUCAAAAAAUAAACAGUUUAAUUGAAUCUAUUUAUGGUUUGAAAAGCCAUCUGUCACGUCUUUUCCAUCCUUGGGGGAUAUCGUAAUUUAGCUUUAAAUAGCAUUAAUGCCAAAUCUGUCCAUGUGACUGCCUGCCUGAAAAAUCCAAGAGAAUGGCUAAUAAAUAGCUAAAGAGAGAAAAACAGAAGCAAUACUUUAAAAAUUUUAAGUAUAUAUUUAGACUAGUUAAUGUUUCUGUUCACAAACCACACCAGUCUGACUAUGUGAUUGAGGCUGUCACAUUGCUAAUGACAAUGCAGAAGAUUAAAAUGCCCAGGAAUAAAUUUAAGAAGUAUGCAUGACGUGCAAAUUUAAAAAAGGAAGUUAUACAAAGGAUAUAUAUGAAUCCUUGCAUUAAUAGAAAAGCUUGUUUUUUAUAUUGACAUAUUUUAACUUUAUAAUUAAGACGAUAAUAAAAAUGUCUUACCAAAUAAAGCAAUACAUUGUAUAAUAUCAGAAUACUCUUAAUAUUACUAACGAUAUAUUUGUUUAAUAGAGGAACCAAGAAAACAUAAAUACAUAUAACAGGAAAAUGAAAUAUUUGAUCUUUACUAAUUUUUCUUCUUAGACUUGAGUUUCCCUAAGAUAUGAACAAAUGGUCAUGCAAUGAUCUAGGAGGUGUGCCUGCCUUAAUUAUAUUAAUAUCCAGAAAACUCUGUUAUUAGGCGUGAAGCUGUUUCAAUAUUACCAGCUAUAAAUAAGUAAAUACUUUAAAUGAAAGAAGACUUCAAGACACACGGCCUUUGCAACAGAGGUGAGGCCCAUGGCUGGGGUCGCCCUAGAAGGACCUCUUGUCCUGGGAGGGCACUGGAGUGACCUCCAGCCUUGAGGAGGCAGAGUCUGAGGUGGCCAGACUGUCCUGAGCGGGUGGGAAAUUCUCUCAGGGGUCGUGGUGACCAACUCUUUUUCAUUUUCUUCCUUCUUUCCUCCCUUCCUUUUUUUAACUCAGAAAAACUAGCUCUAGCGUGCAGCCCCGUGAUGCUGGCCUGCGUAGGAGAACUCUCUCCCCUGACCAGAGGGCUGGUGGAGGGGCUGCCCUGCGCUUCCCACCAUUUUCCUUAAAAACACAGGAAAUAGCACAGGAAGUGAUUAAGGAGGAUCUGCCAAGAAAGAUGUAGUGGGUUGGCAAAAACAAAUCACGGAGAAGCUCAUUUUAAUAGAAACAUGUGACCUACGUAAGUAGUGAGGUUUGACGAUGACCAGGCCACUACUCAAAAUGAUGGCAACAUUUAAUAGGAUGGUAUCUUCUCAUUAACCCAUCCCACGUAGUGGGUCCUUUAUUCCCGUGUUUGCCUGCUUAUUCACCAUCUAUUCACUUCCACGGGCUUCCCUGGUGGUUCAGCUGGUAGAGAACCCACCCGCCAAUGCAGGAGACGUGAAUUCGAUCCCUUGGUUGGGAAGAUGCCCUGGAGGAGGAAACGGCCCCCCACUCCAGUAUUCCUGCCGGGGAGAGUCCACGGACAGGGCGCCUGGCGGGCUGUGGGCUACGAGCUUACACAGAGCCAGACACGGCUGAGCGGCUAACGGCAGCUUUCACUUCCACACAGGGCCCCAUUUCCACGUUGACAAAUAAAACCAACAGGACCCUCUUUAUACAAAGCUCAGAAAAAAAGGGAGAAGAAAAAAAGAAAAGAAGAGGUGUUUUCAACAACAGACUGCUGUUGAUUAAGGGCUUAGCUACUUGUGGAGGAUUUUUUCUUAUGAUAUAAAGUUAGGGUAUUUUUGAAGGGAAAAUGGAGAUGAGUCUUCAUAAAGCUGAUUUCAUAAAUACAAAGUUGCAAAACAGAAAUUACAGUUGGGCUGAGAAUCCUUAAAAAGCCGCGGCUGUGAAUGGCCCUUUUGAGCAGUGCUGAUUAUCAGAGGAGGAGUCUGCGAGUCUUCAAUGCCUGGUCAGCGGGAGAAAGAACAGCCUCUCUCUUUACCCUCAAAAGGAGCCGACGCACCGGGAGCUCUGACAACUUUAAAAGAGCAUUGCCAACGCUGACACAGAUUUUCCUCGUACAAUGCUCUGCACUUUGUCUCAGUUAUUGUUCAGGAUUCAGCGAUUCUGGAACCUACUUGUCCUUUGACUACGGAGGGUUAAUUAACCCUGGCUGGCGGUCCCUUGGCCUGGGCAGCGAUACCCCGGGAGCCCACCUGAUGGAUGUGUGAGCACUUGCCUGCCAGAAUCACAGAGAGGCCAGCCUUUCUGUCUGCAUAAUUUUAUGUAAAUAACUUGGCCCUGUCAGCGAUGUGUUUAUGCCGAGGGGGCGGGGUUUAGGCACCCUCCCUACACAGCAGGCCUCGCUGAGACUCUGCCCCGAGGAACCGCAGUUCACUCUAUUCCCCCUGAAGUCAAGCGCCAGGCCCACCCCUAGGCCAGGCUGCAAGGGGAAGGUCGGGAUGGUCAGCGUUUGGGAGUGAGUGGCCAAAGGGUCCAGACUGCAAGGCCCAGGCCGGCAGGUUGCCCCAAAGCUUAGAAGUCUGGGGACAGUGACGACACUGUCAGUUUCACAGAGUGGGCGAGCACAGACCAAGAGCAGGAGCUGUGAAGGGCCUCUGCAGUCAGGACAGGCGGCCCGGAGCCUCCUCCCAGCCCUGCAGGGGUGCCUCCCGUGAUGCUGGAGCUCGGGACAGUGACCCCCUCGCUCGGAGGCUCCGUUUCUUCAGCGGAGCUGUGUUGUUGUUGACACCGCUCUGGGCCCCAGGCCAGUCUCACAGCCAGGCCCCCUCCGCCCCCGCCCCCCAGCAGGUGCCUGCAGCUCCUUGGGCUCUGGUCUGAUCAGACCCCCGGGAGGCUGGGGGAUGGGGUGGGUGGAUGGAGAACAGCCCCUUGCUGUUCCUUUUCCAGAGGCUGGAGUGCGUUUUCUCAGGAUGAAAGUGCAGGUCUGAACCGGUCUGUCUUCUCAGGCGCUGUCACAAUUCAAGCUCCAUCUCUCUCACCCGAAACCCUUGGGACCAGAUGGAAUUUAGGUGCAGAUUUUAGAAAGAUUUAGAUUUCUGCAUACCACACAUACCACGCAACCCGAAGAGCAGGGGUCGGGGGAACCACAUCUGCACGGGAGACACACAGAGGGAUUCUCGGGCUGGGAAGACUCCAGCUUGUCGUACUUUCCAGGUUAUGCCAAUAAACAAAUUAAAGAAGAACGUCCCAGUUUUAGAGGAUUUGAGUUUAUGUUAUCAUGUGUAAGAAAUUGCAGAUGGGACUUGCCUGGAGGUAAGGAAUCUGCCUGCUGAUGCAGGGGACAAGGGUUUGACCCCUGCCUGGUUUGGGAAGAUCCCACAUGCGGAGGGGCAACUGAGCCUGUUUGCCCUAGAGCCCACGCUCUGUGGUAAGACAAGCCCCUGCUCGCCAGAGCUAGAGGAAGCCUGCCUGCGGCAGCAAAGACUCAGGGAAGCCAAAAAUCAGUAAAUUAAUAAAAUAAAAAAUAAAGUAGUGAAAAUCUUUAAAAAAGAAAUUGUAGAUGUGCACAAUCAUAAUGGUUAGUCUAUUUUCCUUUCCAAAUGGUUCAGAUCCACCUUCUUGAGGUUUUCU